rnacentral:rRNA from 1 species
AUGAGACAUAUAAGACUUGUCCGUAAUAUGAGGGCUCAAAGUGAUCCAUGGUUUGCUGAUUAUCUUCUGCGUGUUGGGAAUGGCACCAAAGAUACUAUGGAUGAUGGUUACAUACGAUUCCCAGAUGAGAUUUGUGUACCAUAUACCGGCGUUGCCUCUGAUAUUGACAAGCUUAUUGAAAGUGUUUUCCCGAUGCCGCUAGAUGAAAACCUCUUGGAUCGAAACUACAUAACGUCAUGAGCAAUUCUAUCAACUCGGAAUGAGUACGUUGACAAAAUCAAUAUGAGGAUGAUUGAGAGAUUUCCUGGGGAGGAGAUGAUAUACUACAGUUUUGAUCGCGUUGAGGAUGAUCCACACAACUACUACCCUGCAGAAUUCUUGAAUUCAUUGACACCUAAUGGUCUACCUCCCCAUAUCCUCAAGUUGAAGAUUAAUUGUCCUAUUAUAUUGUUACGGAACAUUGACCCAGCGAGUGGGUUGUGCAACAGGACGAGGCUGAUUGUCCGAGGGUUCAUGAGGAAUGCAAUUGAUGCUGAGAUUGUGCUGGGCCAGCAUGCCGGUAAGAGGGUGUUCCUUCCUUGA